AGAGUUUGAUCAUGGCUCAGAUUGAACGCUGGCGGCAUGCCUUACACAUGCAAGUUGAACGGCAGCGCGGGAGCAAUCCUGGCGGCGAGUGGCGAACGGGUGAGUAAUAUAUCGGAACGUGCCCUGUAGCGGGGGAUAACCUAUCGAAAGAUGGACUAAUACCGCAUACGCUCUACGGAGGAAAGCGGGGGUCGCAAGACCUCGCACUAUAGGAGCGGCCGAUAUCGGAUUAGCUAGUUGGCGGGGUAAAAGCCCACCAAGGCGACGAUCCGUAGCUGGUCUGAGAGGAUGAUCAGCCACACUGGAACUGAGACACGGUCCAGACUCCUACGGGAGGCAGCAGUGGGGAAUUUUGGACAAUGGGCGCAAGCCUGAUCCAGCCAUGCCGCGUGAGUGAAGAAGGCCUUCGGGUUGUAAAGCUCUUUCGGCAGGAACGAAAUGGUUCGUGCUAAUACCACGGACUGAUGACGGUACCUGAAGAAGAAGCACCGGCUAACUACGUGCCAGCAGCCGCGGUAAUACGUAGGGUGCAGGCGUUAAUCGGAAUUACUGGGCGUAAAGCGUGCGCAGGCGGUUUCUUAAGUCAGAUGUGAAAGCCCCGGGCUUAACCUGGGAACUGCGUUUGAAACUGGGAGACUUGAGUGUGGCAGAGGGGGGUGGAAUUCCACGUGUAGCAGUGAAAUGCGUAGAUAUGUGGAGGAACACCGAUGGCGAAGGCAGCCCCCUGGGUUAACACUGACGCUCAUGCACGAAAGCGUGGGGAGCAAACAGGAUUAGAUACCCUAGUAGUCC
rnacentral:rRNA from 1 species